GGAGAUUUAGCGCUUGCAUGGCAUGCAAGAGGUCGUCGGUUCGACCCCGAUACUCUCCA
rnacentral:tRNA from 1 species